ensembl:snRNA U7 U7 small nuclear RNA
AAGAGUUAAAAGUCUCUUUUAGUAUUUGUCCAGCAGGUUUCCUUUAAAAGGAAACCCAC